rnacentral:lncRNA from 1 species
ACGGUUAAACCGGGAAAACAGUGGCUAGUUUGAAGAAGGGGCGGGGGGACUCCUUGGGGGAAACGCCCAGUGCCUGCGCUCUUUUCCGGCUGGAGCAUCCUGGCGCCCAGUUGAGGGAGGAAGGGAAAUGGGAAGGGUUUGGGC